rnacentral:rRNA from 1 species
AUUGAACGCUGGCGGCAGGCCUAACACAUGCAAGUCGAACGGUAACAGGGAUCAGCUUGCUGAUUCGCUGACGAGUGGCGGACGGGUGAGUAAUGUCUGGGAAACUGCCUGAUGGAGGGGGAUAACUACUGGAAACGGUAGCUAAUACCGCAUAACGUCGCAAGACCAAAGAGGGGGACCUUCGGGCCUCUUGCCAUCGGAUGUGCCCAGAUGGGAUUAGCUAGUAGGUGGGGUAACGGCUCACCUAGGCGACGAUCCCUAGCUGGUCUGAGAGGAUGACCAGCCACACUGGAACUGAGACACGGUCCAGGCUCCUACGGGAGGCAGCAGUGGGGAAUAUUGCACAAUGGGCGCAAGCCUGAUGCAGCCAUGCCGCGUGUAUGAAGAAGGCCUUCGGGUUGUAAAGUACCUUCAGCGGGGAGGAAGGGAGUAAAGUUAAUACCUUUGCUCAUUGACGUUACCCGCAGAAGAAGCACCGGCUAACUCCGUG